AUAGCAACAGGCACUACUCCCCACCGAGCCGCACACUACGUGCCCCCUUAUCCACAACAUCCCCAUUCCUUCGCUGGCCAGUCCACUGCCGCUCGGCCGCCUCGUCGGCUAGGCCGCCGCCCCACCAUCGGAGCUUCAUGGCUGCCGGCACCUUCAACCGUUGCCACACACCGCCUGGGCUUGCCCACCUCCCGAUCCAGCCGGCAAACAGACAGAUCCGUCUUCCCCGUGUCCGUCCCAGGCCUCUCUGCCUCGCCGGAGUUGUCAAGGCGCCGGCCCUCGUCCACCAAGUCAACUGCAUCGCACCCCUGCUUCGUCUCGGGAGGAGCAGCGAGCCAGCGCCCACCUCUACAUCGAGCACUUCUCAAUCCGGCCGCAUCGCCCAAGGCCCAGUCCGCCGCCGCCUUGCUCCGCCUCCGGCCAAGCCGGCCCUCGUCCACCAAGUCAACUGCAUCGCACCCCUGCAUCGUCUCGGGAGGAGCAGCGAGCCAACGCCCACCUCUGCAUCGAGCCCUGCUCAAUCCGGCCGCGUCGCCCAAGGCCCAGUCCGCCGCCGCCUUGCUCUGCCUCCGGCCACGCCGUCCUCCCGCCGGAGGUCGCCGCGGCAUGAACGCCGCCUCCUCCAGCUCUCCGCCCGCCUCCGGCCACAUCCUCGACCGGAUCCGCCCAAUCUUCAUCGCCGCGCCAAGUCCCACAGCCGCCUGACACCGCUGCGUCUUCUUCCCCUGCGCUGCUCGAGAACGAGCAGAGCCGCCGUUCCUCACUUAAUAAAGAGGGACUGCGGGUGCAAUUUCUGAAAAACUGAAGGGCUUUUUUGCCAAAAAAACAUGACGACGGACGACCAGAAACGCUUGCCGCUUUAUUAUUAGAAUAGAGAUAUGCAUUAUUAUCCUAUUUUAUAUUAUUUUCAGAGCUUAGUGUCAGUUCCUGUUUUUCCCAUGUUUUUGAGUUUCGCAGAAAAAAAAUACCAAACAGAAUAAAACUUCCGUGAUGAUUUUUCUGAGGGGAUUUGAUUAUGGAGGGCUUCUACAUUAACUCUAUUGCCCUUCCGAUGAAGCGUGAGUAGUUUACUUCAGAC
rnacentral:rRNA from 1 species